rnacentral:rRNA from 1 species
CAGUAGCGUAUAUUAAAGCUGUUGCAGUUAAAAAGCUCGUAGUUGGAUCUUGGGCCCAGGCCUGCGGUCCGCCGUGAGGCGUGUACUGCAGUCCUGGCCUUCCUCUCGGUUUUCGCCCGGUGCCCUUAAUUGAGUGCCAGGAGAGGCCGGAACGUUUACUUUGAAAAAUUGGAGUGUUCAAAGCAGGCCUCGCGCCUGAACAGCAGAGCAUGGAAUAAUGGAAUAGGACCUCGGUUCUAUUGCGUUGGUUUUCGGAACUCGAGGUAAUGAUUAACAGGGACAAUUGGGGGCAUUAGUAUUCAGACGACAGAGGUGAAAUUCUUGGACCGUCUGAAGACUGACUACUGCGAAAGCAUUUGCCAAGAGUGUUUUCAUUAAUCAAGAACGAAAGUUAGAGGUUCGAAGAUGAUCAGAUACCAU